rnacentral:rRNA from 1 species
AUGGUCCCGGGGAUCCUCCCACCACUCGCGGUGAACUGGGCCCGACUGAGCUGCGCACUGCCCUCGUCAGCCCAGCACGGGCACGCCGACAAAAGUUGGGAGGGGAACCUCAAAAUACAAAAGUUGGCGACCAGUCCUCUGCGCGUCCAGCAUUGGCGUCAUCCCAUUCCAGCGGAGUUUCGGGUCAUGGAACGAGGUACCUAUGCCGAUGUGGAGGUGGGUGGGUGGGGAUGCAAGGACGACGACGGCGGGGAGAAGAAGGUGACGUGCUUUCUCGCCAGCUGUGGCACGACCAGACUUGUUCAAGUCGCUAAAUCAUUCAAAGUUAGGCAGAUUCUAGCUUGUCCUUAUCCUUAUAAACUAACUACUCCCUUUGGGGUCAUGGGUUGGAAUAUGUGUCCCGAUGUUGACAAUGAUAAACAACAGGUGGCUAUAAAGACAUCCAUCAAGGUUGACAAGCACAUGAAGAAGGAGUUCACCGAUGAGGUUAUAAUCCAAUCUGCAAUGAGGCACAAGAACAUUGUCAUGCUCCUAGGCUGCUGCUUAGAGCUGGAUGUUCCCAUGUUGGUGUAUGAGUUUGUAGCGAGAGGGAGUCUGUAUGAUGUUCUCUUCAAGUGCAGAGAUAGGAUUCUAGCGGGCACACGACUGAGGAUUGCUAUUGGGUCAGCCGAAGGCUUAACAUACAUGCAUUCAGCAGGGGAGAGUACAAUCCGUCAUGGUGAUGUUAAAUCUGCCAAUAUCCUUCUGGACGAAAAGUUCACCCCAAAAGUUUCAGACUUUGGGACAUCAAAGCUACUCGCAAGAGGAAAAGCCGAGAUGACAGAACAUGUCAUUGGGGACAUGAGCUACAUAGAUCCAGUAUAUAUGGAGCAAGGGAUCGUCACAUAG